UGCAUCCCUAGUUCUGUAAAAGGGUUGGAUCCGACGCCUCUAGAAGGCUACUAUAGGCUCUCCUUCUCAACUCCUACUCAAUACGUCCACG
rnacentral:ribozyme from 1 species